rnacentral:rRNA from 1 species
UACGUAGGGGCAAGCGUUGUCCGGAAUCAUUGGGCGUAAAGCGCGUGUAGGCGGUCCGGUAAGUCCGCUGUGAAAGUCGGGGGCUUAACCCUCGGAUGCCGGUGGAUACUGUCGGGCUUGAGUACGGAAGAGGCGAGUGGAAUUCCUGGUGGUAGCGGUGAAAUGCGCAGAUAUCAGGAGGAACACCAAUUGCGAAGGCAGCUCGCUGGGACGUUACUGACGCUGAGACGCGAAAGCGUGGGGAGCAAACAGG